rnacentral:rRNA from 1 species
GUCUACAGACAUACUACCCUGAAGGUGCCCGAUCUCGUCUGAUCUCGGAAACUAAGCAGGGUCGGGCCUGGUUAGUACUUGGAUGGGAGGAUUCCCCAUUGUCUAAAAGGAUAUGUGUGGACC